UACGUAGGGACCAAGCGUUGUCCGGAAUCAUUGAACGUAAAGAGCGUGUAGGCGGCCUUUUAAGUCCUGCGUGAAAUCCUGCGGCUCAACCGCAGACAGUCGUGGGAAACUGGAAAACUAGAGUGCGGAAGAGGAGAGUGGAAUUCCCGGUGUAGCGGUGAAAUGCGCAGAUAUCGGGAAGAACACCCGUGGCGAAGGCGGCUCUCUGGAACGCAACUGACGCUGAGACGCGAAAGCGUGGGGAGCAAACAGG
rnacentral:rRNA from 1 species